AAACGUAGGAAGCGAGCGUUAUCCGGAUUUACUGGGCGUAAAGCGCGUGUAGGCGGUUUGAUAAGUUGGAUGUGAAAUCUCCUGGCUCAACUGUGAGGGGUCGUUCAAAACUAUCAGACUUGAGGACAGUAGAGGAAGGUGGAAUUCCCGGAGUAGUGGUGAAAUGCGUAGAUAUCGGGAGGAACACCAGUGGCGAAAGCGGCCUUCUGGACUGUAUCUGACGCUCAGACGCGAAAGCUAGGGGAGCGAACGGGAUUAGAGACCCCGGUAGUCCUAGCUGUAAACGAUGUGAACUUGGCGUCGGUGGGUUCAAAUCCAUCGGUGCCGAAGCUAACGCGAUAAGUUCACCGCCUGGGGACUACGGCCGCAAGGUUAAAACUUAAAGGAAUUGACGGGG
rnacentral:rRNA from 1 species